GAACAAGCAAGGCAAUGGCAGAUGAAAUUAAAUGUUGACAAAUGCAAGUUAAUGUGCAUUGGAAGGCAUAAUGUGACCUACUCAUACACAUUGCUGCAUUUUAAAUUAACUGUAACCACUCAGGGAAAAGACCUAGAGGUUAUUGUGAACAGCUCAAUAAAAACAUCUGUUAAAUGAACAGAAGCAGUCAGAAAAGCAAACAAAACAUUGGGCCGUACAAGGGAGAUUUUAUAUUAUCAUUUAUAUUAUGAUAAUACAUCAGGACACUGAAAACUGCUUUCUGUUGUGCCAGGCUCUGUGUGAGCAGAGAGUGAAAAGGCAUCCGAGUGUGACCAGACACCAAUGGAUAAGGAGAUUCCUGGAGCAGAGGUUUGCCUUCAAGCAAGGAGAACUGUGUGAUGUGCAAGACUUCUGGCUCUGCAAGCAGCUCAACAAGCCGAAGAGUUGAUCUUCCUCUGAAUUGGAAAGAAUUGCACAUUAAAAAGUUUGAAACCGACGGCUGAUCUCAAACUGAGACCUUUCGUUUGACCCAAAGCAGCAGUAGGGAGAUGGGGAUGGCGAGCCUUGCCUCUUUUGUGAUGCAGAGAGAAAGUGGAGAAACCAGCGAGCGCAUCCAUGUACAAGUGCGGGUGACUUCAGCCAGAAGUGGCGGAGGGGUUUAACUCACCAUAUUGAAGUCAGCAGGAUGCUUGGAUGCCAGCGCUGCCGUGGAGCUCCUGCAAUGUGUAAUCACUGCUCUCAUGCCUCUGGUGCCCAGGGAGCCUUGCACUUACAUGGGCAGGUGGAAACCCUCCCUCAGCAAACACGCCACCAGCUGCAGCAUGUCCCACUGGAGGAGCUGGGCUGACAGACGGAGCAAGGACGACGUCCUGAGCUUUGGCUUGGCUGCUGUAUGGGGAAUAAUUCUUGUGGGCCCCUUUCUGCUUGUGUGAGCGUUUUCGGAGCAUCUUCAGAAGCACCAGCCCUCUCCUCUGUCGUAUUAUUUUUGUUUGUAAAUCCUGGCUGAAGAAGGAUCUCGGCUCAAACAUAAAGCUCCAUCUGACCUGAGCAGCACGGGGCAAAUCUGGGAUCAAGCCUGUGAAGAAAACGGGUUUAUUAGCCUUAUAAAUUGAAUCUGGAGUUCUUGGUGCAAAUAACCUAGUACCCUCCCAAGUGACUCUGCUUUAAUGAGAAUUGUCAAAGCUGCAGGUCUCACAGAUGUGAUAAAGAUUGGACAACUCUAGGGGUGGACAGCCAGGUUCCAGUGUGCUUCUGCCCAGCCUAGAAGAGCUCCCUCAGCAACACCAGGGCUUCUCUCCCUACGGAUGGAGGGAAGUUCCCAACAUAUUCUCACAUUCCUCCAGUUAAAAACUUCCCACCCACAGACAUCCCAGAGCAUCCCUUUGGAGAACGAAACACAAAGGGAAUCCAAGAUGAUGCUUGGCUUCCUGCUGCUGAGACAAAUAGUGAGGCUGUUAAACUCUACCAUUGUCCCACGUCCUUUAGAGUGGAAAGAGUUUGUACUCCUUGCUCUAAGAUUUACGCAGCAGUGCUCUCCAACUCCAGGCAGCUGGGAAGUCCCCAUCUGAAACCUCUCCACAAGCUGAUGGGAAGCAGCAAGACCCACACUGCCUUCAUCAUUGUCAUCCCCAUCAAUGGAGCCAACGGGUCAGAAAACUCCCAUCCGUUACACCUAUGGCAUGCCAUCAGCUCGCAGGUGAUGAGGAAAAGCAGAUGCAGUUUUUGGUGAGCCAGUUGUUCUCCCGUUUUGCACAUCCCAAAAUGAGCUUCAAGAUUCCAAGCAUGCUUCACGCUGUAGGGUUCUGUCCACAGGGUCUGGGCUGGAUGUGACCUUAGGAGUGAAUGCAGUGUGGGGAACAGAAAAAUUCAGCAAAAAAAGAGCAAAUGUGUUAACGGAGGGCAAAAAAAAAACACACAUCAUGUAGUUCCCUCUAUUCUUAGUUUUAUGCAUUCGGCCGGUUCUGGAGUGACUGAAAACCUGAGAAUUUGAAAGGAAUGUUGUGAUUUCAGCCGAGUUCAAUAUUCUCUUCAAUAUUUUGAAAAGUGGAAGUCUUAGGCAGCUGAACAGAACUUUGCCCAUUGACAAUUCCUGCUUAGAGAAUAAACUUAGAAUAAAUAAAGGCAUCAUAGUGGGAAUUGGCUGGAGUAAACCAUUCUGUGCUGCAGUAAAAUUCAAUUCUAGGUGGUUUCAGUUGCGAUCUCCAAUACAAACCCUGAACGUUACUGUCCUUCAAAUGCUUCUUUAUUGGAAAGCAGUCCCAGUGUCCCAGAAAGCCCCCAAAGGCUUUCUUUUGCCAUAUGCCUGCACUCAGCUGCAAGUUGUUCAUGCUGCGCUCAUGAGGGUGGGCAUCCACCUCACUUCAGCCUUUCAGACCCGAAGUAUCAAGCCUAAACCUACUGCCACGGUUCCCUUGUUUUUCAGAGGGAGGUUGGAACUGCAGCCUCCUACAGCUCUGCAGGCAGGGUGCUUGCUUCCAGCUGACCACGCUCAGGGAGAUGUACUGGGCUACUCGGUGAUUCCUAUUCCUCCUCCUGUUACGUUUUUCUUCCCUACCUGCCUUAACAACACUCUGUUUACGCUAUCUCAGGCCAAGGAUCAAAGUGCUAUUCCCCUCUGCCAAGAGCGAUUUAGCAGUGCCUUCCUUGGACUUGCUUUGUUAUAACUUUUGCAUUGCCCGGGUGCUGAGUUAUUCAUUAUGCGCAGGCUGCAGAGACAAUUGUAUGCGUUCCUCUUCCUGUCUGUGCAAUAUUUUGACAUUUCCCUGUGUCUAUUGGAAUUCAGUCCUGUCUUUAAAUAAAUAUCUUGCUUUCCCAUGGGAAGAGCUCCAGGAGCUCC
ensembl:lncRNA